rnacentral:rRNA from 1 species
AGAGUUUGAUCCUGGCUCAGGACGAACGCUGGCGGCGUGCUUAACACAUGCAAGUCGAACGGUGACGAGGAGCUUGCUCCUCUGAUCAGUGGCGAACGGGUGAGUAACACGUGAGCAACCUGCCCCAGACUCUGGGAUAACAGUUGGAAACAGCUGCUAAUACCGGAUACGAGACGGAGAGGCAUCUCUACCGUCUGGAAAGUUUUUCGGUCUGGGAUGGACUCGCGGCCUAUCAGCUAGUUGGUGAGGUAAUGGCUCACCAAGGCGACGACGGGUAGCCGGCCUGAGAGGGCGACCGGCCACACUGGGACUGAGACACGGCCCAGACUCCUACGGGAGGCAGCAGUGGGGAAUAUUGCACAAUGGGCGAAAGCCUGAUGCAGCGACGCCGCGUGAGGGAUGACGGCCUUCGGGUUGUAAACCUCUUUCAGCAGGGAAGAAGCGAAAGUGACGGUACCUGCAGAAGAAGCACCGGCUAACUACGUGCCAGCAGCCGCGGUAAUACGUAGGGUGCGAGCGUUGUCCGGAAUUAUUGGGCGUAAAGAGCUUGUAGGCGGUUUGUCGCGUCUGCAGUGAAAAAUCCGAGGCUCAACCUCGGACUUGCUGUGGGUACGGGCAGACUAGAGUAUGGUAGGGGAGACCGGAAUUCCUGGUGUAGCGGUGGAAUGCGCAGAUAUCAGGAGGAACACCGAUGGCGAAGGCAGGUCUCUGGGCCAUAACUGACGCUAAGAAGCGAAAGCAUGGGGAGCGAACAGGAUUAGAUACCCUGGUAGUCCAUGCCGUAAACGUUGGGCGCUAGGUGUGGGGCUCAUUCCACGAGCUCCGUGCCGCAGCUAACGCAUUAAGCGCCCCGCCUGGGGAGUACGGCCGCAAGGCUAAAACUCAAAGGAAUUGACGGGGGCCCGCACAAGCGGCGGAGCAUGCGGAUUAAUUCGAUGCAACGCGAAGAACCUUACCAAGGCUUGACAUAUACCGGAAACAUCCAGAGAUGGGUGCCCCGCAAGGUCGGUAUACAGGUGGUGCAUGGUUGUCGUCAGCUCGUGUCGUGAGAUGUUGGGUUAAGUCCCGCAACGAGCGCAACCCUCGUUCUAUGUUGCCAGCGCGUAGUGGCGGGGACUCAUAGGAGACUGCCGGGGUCAACUCGGAGGAAGGUGGGGAUGACGUCAAAUCAUCAUGCCCCUUAUGUCUUGGGCUUCACGCAUGCUACAAUGGCCGGUACAAAGGGCUGCGAUACCGCGAGGUGGAGCGAAUCCCAAAAAACCGGUCUCAGUUCGGAUUGGGGUCUGCAACUCGACCCCAUGAAGUCGGAGUCGCUAGUAAUCGCAGAUCAGCAACGCUGCGGUGAAUACGUUCCCGGGCCUUGUACACACCGCCCGUCAAGUCACGAAAGUCGGUAACACCCGAAGCCGGUGGCCCAACCCUUGUGGAGGGAGCCGUCGAAGGUGGGACUGGCGAUUGGGACUAAGUCGUAACAAGGUA